UUGUUAAUCCACUUCAGAUGCAGCAAUCAAGAAAGAGCAUCGGAUGAAAAGAAGAGGAUCUCUUCCCUUGGGAUGUUAUGUUAUGCUUAUAUAAAUGAGGGUAUAAGAAGCAAAGAUUGUGUUCAAGGCAACCUGCAGAUGCAUAUUACUACCAGAGAACAGGACAUGGUUGACUUCUGGGAUGGAAAGUAGGGAACAAUGACAGCAGGGAGAAGCCAGCACCUGGAGAACAGAGUAACUUGACAGCAAGCACUUGACUCUCGAGAUCAGAAGGGAGAAAAAGACAUGUGUAACUUUGCAAAAGCUAAGGGCAUUUGGAAAAGUUACAGGAUGGCAAAAGAAGAAACACAGGAAGAUGAAAGGAAACUAGAUGACAGAUAUUCCUAAUUUGAAUGCGUCCUGACAACCUCGUUCAAUUAUGGCCUCUCCUUGAGUUUCUGGAGCGUGCUAAACAAUCAUGGUCUUUGCUCUCAGACCAUCUCUUCUAUAUCUAGGAAUACAGGUUCAGAAAAAUUUAAACUAUCAGGUUCUCUUAUUAUCAAAAUGGGAAGUCCAUUCAUGAUUGGUCAAUGGAGACCAGUGCCUGACCACUGAAGUGUGCUCAUGACUUGUUGAAAAGCACCAUCUGCUGCGAGCUGGAACUGCAGCAGGGACCAUGGCAGGGCUGUCCUAUCAACUCUAUGGUGCAGGCGACUGAACUGCGUUGUGGUGUACGUCUUCUGUCCCUUUUUAAUAUGUUAACAUAAGCAAGGCAACAUAGGCUGCAUCUGUGACUGCCCAUGCUGCCAGCCAUAAGCGAUUUUAGGUUGUUGGGUGCACAGAGCUUUUUCCCAUUAGGCUGCAGAACUUGUCCAAAUUCACAGUUCACUGUGGGGUUUUAUGCACUGGUAUACCAGAGGAGUUUGGAUUUGAGUGGUGCUUUGUAGCUAAAUAACCAGUAGAAGCCCAAAUGAUGUAUUUUAUAUAUGUGGAGAGCUGCUGUCUGAAUCAAGUCUGAGUCUUGGUCUUGUUUUUAUUCCUUGGCCAAUAAUUCCUGAGCCCCGGACUCCCGUUUUAAUUGUUGGCCAUUUUUCUCUGAUUCAGUUCAGAAAAACAAUGAAACUAAAGAUAAAAUCAAUGGAUUCUCAAGUAAUGUGAAAUUAAUUUACUGGUAGGAUAAUCAUACUGCAGUCAAGGGACUAUUCACAGCUCUAAGAAUCAUAGCAUGAAAGAAGAGAGAUCAUGUUCUUCACUGCUACUGUAAGAACACAAAAUAUUCCUGACAGACAGACCCAGAGACCUGAAGGUCUAGGCAUUGCUAUAAUCCUCAAAGAGAUUUCAUAAUCCUUUUAAUAAACCUUCUGAAUUCCAAGAUUGCUCCUAUAGCACAUUUUUCAGGGUCUUCUGCAGACGUGCUUUAGAUUUGCUAUGUGGUGAAACUUCCAGGGUUGCUCUGCAGAAGGCUGACCUCAGAGGAGCUGCUGUGAGAUUGCUCAGUAUGUU